UGGGGAAUAUUGGACAAUGGGCGAAAGCCUGAUCCAGCCAUGCCGCGUGAGUGAUGAAGGCCCUAGGGUUGUAAAGCUCUUUCAACGGUGAAGAUAAUGACGGUAACCGUAGAAGAAGCCCCGGCUAACUUCGUGCCAGCAGCCGCGGUAAUACGAAGGGGGCUAGCGUUGUUAGGAAUUACUGGGCGUAAAGCGCACGUAGGCGGACAUUUAAGUCAGGGGUGAAAUCCCGGGGCUCAACCCCGGAACUGCCUUUGAUACUGGGUGUCUCGAGUCCGGAAGAGGUGAGUGGAAUUCCGAGUGUAGAGGUGAAAUUCGUAGAUAUUCGGAGGAACACCAGUGGCGAAGGCGGCUCACUGGUCCGGUACUGACGCUGAGGUGCGAAAGCGUGGGGAGCAAACA
rnacentral:rRNA from 1 species